GAUGAACGCUGGCGGCGUGCCUAAUACAUGCAAGUCGAGCGAACGGACGAGAAGCUUGCUUCUCUGAUGUUAGCGGCGGACGGGGGAGUAACACGUGGAUAACCUACCUAUAAGACUGGGAUAACUUCGGGAAACCGGAGCUAAUACCGGAUAAUAUUUUGAACCGCAUGGUUCAAAAGUGAACGGCGGUCUUGCUGUCACUUAUAGAUGGAUCCGCGCUGCAUUAGCUAGUUGGUAAGGUAACGGCUUACCAAGGCAACGAUGCAUAGCCGACCUGAGAGGGUGAUCGGCCACACUGGAACUGAGACACGGUCCAGACUCCUACGGGAGGCAGCAGUAGGGAAUCUUCCGCAAUGGGCGAAAGCCUGACGGAGCAACGCCGCGUGAGUGAUGAAGGUCUUCGGAUCGUAAAACUCUGUUAUUAGGGAAGAACAUAUGUGUAAGUAACUGUGCACAUCUUGACGGUACCUAAUCAGAAAGCCACGGCUAACUACGUG
rnacentral:rRNA from 1 species